UUGUGGUUAAAAAGCUCGUAGUUGGAUCUCGGCGGACUGAGGGCGGUUUGCUUGCUAGUAUUACUGCCCUAUAGUCCGUAGUUUUGCCAGAGGUUUCGGGGUGCUCUUAAUCGAGUGCCCCGGGAUGCUGGCAGGUUUACUUUGAAAAAAUUAGAGUGCUCAAAGCAGGCUAUUACGCCUGAAUAUUCGUGCAUGGAAUAAUAGAAUAGGAAGUCGUUUCUAUUUUGUUGGUUUUCGGAAAUCGACUUAAUGAUUAAUAGGGGCAGUCGGGGGCAUUUGUAUUCAAACGACAGAGGUGAAAUUCUUGGACCGUUUGAAGACAAACUACUGCGAAAGCAUUUGCCCAAGAAUGUUUUCAUUUAAUCAAGAACGAAAGUUAAAGGUUCGAAGGCCAUUAGAUAC
rnacentral:rRNA from 1 species